UGGGGAAUCUUCCACAAUGGACGAAAGUCUGACGGAGCAACGCCGCGUGAGUGAAGACGGCCUUCGGGUUGUAAAGCUCUGUGAUCCGGGACGAAAGAGCCUGAGGUGAAUAGCCUAAGGAAGUGACGGUACCGGAAAAGCAAGCCACGGCUAACUACGUGCCAGCAGCCGCGGUAAUACGUAGGUGGCAAGCGUUGUCCGGAAUUAUUGGGCGUAAAGCGCGCGCAGGCGGCUUCCUAAGUCCAUCUUAAAAGUGCGGGGCUUAACCCCGUGAUGGGAUGGAAACUGGGAAGCUGGAGUAUCGGAGAGGAAAGUGGAAUUCCUAGUGUAGCGGUGAAAUGCGUAGAGAUUAGGAAGAACACCGGUGGCGAAGGCGACUUUCUGGACGAAAACUGACGCUGAGGCGCGAAAGCGUGGGGAGCAAACAGG
rnacentral:rRNA from 1 species